GACGAACGCUGGCGGCGUGCUUAACACAUGCAAGUCGAACGGAAAGGCCCUGCUUUUGUGGGGUGCUCGAGUGGCGAACGGGUGAGUAACACGUGAGUAACCUGCCCUUGACUUUGGGAUAACUUCAGGAAACUGGGGCUAAUACCGGAUAGGAGCUCCUGCUGCAUGGUGGGGGUUGGAAAGUUUCGGCGGGUGGGGAUGGACUCGCGGCUUAUGAGCUUGUUGGUGGGGUAGUGGCUUACCAAGGCUUUGACGGGUAGCCGGCCUGAGAGGGUGACCGGCCACAUUGGGACUGAGAUACGGCCCAGACUCCUACGGGAGGCAGCAGUGGGGAAUAUUGCCCAAUGGGCGGAAGCCUGAUGCAGCAACGCCGCGUGCGGGAUGACGGCCUUCGGGUUGUAAACCGCUUUCGCCUGUGACGAAGCGUGAGUGACGGUAAUGGGUAAAGAAGCACCGGCUAACUACGUG
rnacentral:rRNA from 1 species